AUAAAAUGGCGGCGUCCACAUGUAUACGUCCUUCCCGGGAUUAGCCUAGAGGAUGACUUAAUAAGGAGAGUGGAGAAACUGGCCAAUUAAUGAACAUGCCCUGAUCAUUAAUCCACCACUGAAGGAAGUCAGAGCAGAAACUCAAGCAGGGACUUGAAGAAGAAACCAUGGAGGAAUACGGCUUGCUGGCUCACCUGUGCGUACUAGCUUGCUUAUACAUCCCGGAACCACUCACCCAGGGAAUGAUGGCACCCAUCAGUUCAAGAUGUUCAACUUGGCUGCUCCAGCUACCAUGCCUGCUGCCUGCCACCUCCACUCUGUCAUGGAACUGUAAGCCCAAAUAAACUCUUUUUUUAUCUAAGUUGCCUUGGCCACGUUUUAUCACAAUAUCAGAAAAGUGACUGAUACACAGGGUUUCUUACUGAACCUGGAGCUGGCCAGCAAGCCUGUGGGAGCCAUCUGUUUCUAUCCAUGAGUGCUGCACUGUGCCGUCAUGCUCAGCUUCUAAAGAUGUGCUUGGGAUCUGAACUCAAGUCUUCAUGCAAGCACUUUGCCCAUUGAACUAUCUCCCCCAUCUCUCCCAUGGCUCUUGGUAAUGUUGUUCUAAAAUGUCACUCAAAUAAAUUUGUAUCCUUUUGU
rnacentral:lncRNA from 1 species